rnacentral:rRNA from 1 species
UACGGGGGGGCAAGCGUUGUUCGGAAUCACUGGGCGUAAAGGGCGCGUAGGCGGCUUUAUAAGUCGGGGGUGAAAGCCUGUGGCUCAACCACAGAAUUGCCUUCGAUACUGUAGAGCUUGAGACCGGAAGAGGUAAGUGGAACUGCGAGUGUAGAGGUGAAAUUCGUAGAUAUUCGCAAGAACACCAGUGGCGAAGGCGGCUUACUGGUCCGGUUCUGACGCUGAGGCGCGAAAGCGUGGGGAGCAAACAGG